AAACACCCCCCAGUGAAGAUAGCCCCAGAAGAGCGGGACGACUCCAAAGACUCGGAGUACUGGGAGGCGCUGGCUCACAUCAUCCCGGAUGGCAAGCUGAAACUAUGGGAUGCACUGGUUGUUGGCUUGCAGAAAUACUACCACAUUCUCUCCCAGAGGGCAAAGCUCAUUACUGAGACAGACGGGCUGCACCAGCAAAACGCAGAACUCCGGCUGUUGCUGCAGCAGUACCUCCAGUCCCCGGUGAAUGCGGAGUUGCUGAUCCCUCCCACCCACUUACUGAACCUGCAGUUGAAUUCUGCAUGACCCAUCCUCCGCUGGAAGUUUAGGGGCUGUUUGACUCUCCCAAUCCCCCUCUUUAUGGAGCCCUCUCAAUGGGCCAUUGUGGGUGCAACAGAGCCAAACUGCGAGGAAAAACUACUUUGAAAGAUUGGUCCCUUGGAGCCAUGCAUUCGUGAGUACCCCCUGUUUUGUUUGAGUCACCCAGUUCUUUCCUCGCAUAGCAGCAUUAACCUGUGGGCAAGGGCUUCACUGGGAACAGAGGCAUGUAACAACUCUCUCACAAACCUUCCGACUCAUCGAUGAAGGGACGUGGAGAAUCCUCAUUUGGCAUGAUUCAGAGAACCCACAAAACCCACAUCGUGCUCCAGAAGUGUUCCCUGGAGCGGAAAAACAGGCACCUUUUUCUGACCUUCAGAAUGUCAUUUCUCUCUAUGUGAAGGAGGACAAAUAAAUGGUUUACUGUGA